UAUCAUUAACAUUGUUCCUAUGUACAAAAUUUCAACCAAUUUUGCAGGGAAUUAGAGCACACCACUUUGAAUUGGAAGUGAUCAAAUCAAGAAGAUCAAAAGUUGGCAAUUAUUACUGGCUUGUGAUCUUUGUCAAUUUUUCUGCUGCCUGCGUCUCCAUGGGGCCACCUGCUUAAAGCUUUUAUAGAUGUCUGUCCACAAUUGUGAUCUUGUAGAAGAAAAACCCAAGAAGCUGGAUUUCCUUAUCCUAGUGAUCUUCACCUUCGCAGUAACACCAUCAACACCACGACGAUCAAAAACUGGAGAUGAUGAGAAGUCAACACUACCCUCAACAACUUGUUUAUUCCUUCUGAAACUCCCCCACCGGCUAGAUCCAAAUAUCACUCUUCCUUUACCGUCUCUCCUGGCCAAGUUCUCAAAGCUACUAAAUAACGACCUUCCUUUCCCAAAUGACAAAGAGCUAGAGCGAGACAGAGACUGAUGAUGAGCACUCAAAUAAGGUUCAUCCAAGACAGUAGUUGGAGAGGGCAUGUUAUUGACUCUGGCCUCACAAAACAGCCUCGGAGGCAAUUCCAAGCAUCUUGCAGUCUUGGAGUUGGGAUGCACCUGGUUGGUGGUCCAGGGUCUAGGCUUGCCUGGUGCUUCCUCCCACAGGAAUGGAACUGAAGCUAAGGUAUGUAUUGGUGAAGUCGACAACCCUGGUGACUCUUGUGGCUUGCUUGGAAGCGAAAAGAAGGAGAGCUUAGGUGUAGGACUUGGCUCAGAGCCCAUAGUUUUGAAUUUUUCUCUUCCUUAAUUUCUGUGUCUAAAAGAUCAUGCAGGAGUGACACUGAAA
rnacentral:misc_RNA from 1 species